UGAGGAAUAUUGGUCAAUGGACGCAUGUCUGAACCAGCCAAGUAGCGUGCAGGAUGACGGCCCUAUGGGUUGUAAACUGCUUUUAUAUGGGGAUAAAGUGGGGAACGUGUUCCCUUUUGCAGGUACCAUAUGAAUAAGGACCGGCUAAUUCCGUGCCAGCAGCCGCGGUAAUACGGAAGGUUCGGGCGUUAUCCGGAUUUAUUGGGUUUAAAGGGAGCGUAGGCCGUUUGGUAAGCGUGUUGUGAAAUGUAGGAGCUCAACUUCUAGAUUGCAGCGCGAACUGUCAGACUUGAGUGCGCACAACGUAGGCGGAAUUCAUGGUGUAGCGGUGAAAUGCUUAGAUAUCAUGAAGAACUCCGAUUGCGAAGGCAGCUUACGGGAGCGCAACUGACGCUGAAGCUCGAAGGUGCGGGUAUCGAACAGG
rnacentral:rRNA from 1 species